CAAACACAGAGUGGCAGAUUAGUAGCAAACAUAUCCAAAUGAGGGACAAAUGGGAAUAUCCAAAUAAACAGGCAAAAGGCUGUACUGCUUAUCCUACACAGGGGGCUGGAAGCUUGAAGCCUAUCCCAGCAGACUAAGGGGACAAGGCAGGAGGGACACCCUGGAUGAGAAAAUGGAACACUUGAACAGAAUCAUGCAGCGUAACCUGAGUGAGGAAAAAAGUUUCACACUGUGAAAAUGAAUGGCUGUUACAGGAGCCCUGAUGUCGCUUGUCAUUGAAGAACUGUGCAAGCAAAUUGAUAACUUAUAAACAAGGCACCCUGUUCACUGGACUUUUUGAUUGAAAAUUGUCACUGCAUUCAAGUUUAAAAGAGGGCAUGAUAUAACUAACUCUUGGUGAAGCUCCAUGGAAAAUGAAAAGUACAUAGCUAGUCUCUCUAUACUACUGCACAUGAAGUAGCACUAGUGAAAGUAAUUGUAUGUAUGAUACUUUAAGAUUGAUCUUUUUUCAGUAGAACAUCAUAAUUGGGUGUAAAGAAAUGUAUUCUUUAUUCAUGAUUCAUUUAAUAAAAUU
ensembl:lncRNA